UACGGGGGGGGCAAGCGUUGUUCGGAAUUACUGGGCGUAAAGCGCGCGCAGGCGGCUUCGCGCGCCCGACGUGAAAGCCCCCGGCUUAACCGGGGAGAGUCGUUGGGGACGGCGGAGCUUGAGGGCGGGAGAGGUCGGUGGAAUUCCCGGUGUAGUGGUGAAAUGCGUAGAGAUCGGGAGGAACACCUGUGGCGAAGGCGGCCGACUGGGCCGACCCUGACGCUGAGGCGCGAAGGCGUGGGGAGCGAACGGG
rnacentral:rRNA from 1 species